rnacentral:rRNA from 1 species
CAAUAGCGUAUAUUAAAGUUGUUGCAGUUAAAAAGCUCGUAGUUGGAUUUCUGGUCGGAAGCUCCUGUCCUCUGAUGAGCGUACAAGUGCGUCCUACCAUCCUUCUGUUAACCUUUAAGGCUUUCGCGGCUUUCUAGGGGCUCAGAUAUUUUACCUUGAGAAAAUUAGAGUGUUCCAGGCAGGCUAGCGCCGGAAUACAUUAGCAUGGAAUAAUGGAAUAGGACUUUUGCCUCUUCUGUUGGUCAUGAGGCUCGAGUAAUGAUUAAUAGGGAUAGUUGGGGGCAUUAGUACUUAACUGUCAGAGGUGAAAUUCUCGGAUUUGUUAAAGACUAACUUAUGCGAAAGCAUUUGCCAAGGAUGUUUUCAUUAA